UUCUAAGAUACUGAAAGAUCCCCGAAGGGAGACCCUUACUCAAGUCUCGGGAAAUCGCGGACCCCAGACACAGAGAGACCA
rnacentral:pre_miRNA from 14 species